GUGCUCACUUUGGCAGCACCAAUACUAAAAUUGUAACGAUACAGAGAAGAUUAGCAGGGCCCCUGUGCAAGGAUGACAGGCACAUUCGUGAGGUGUUCCAUAGUUCC
rnacentral:snRNA from 1 species